rnacentral:rRNA from 1 species
UACGUAGGGUCCGAGCGUUGUCCGGAAUUACUGGGCGUAAAGAGCUCGUAGGUGGUUUGUCGCGUUGUUCGUGAAAACUCACAGCUCAACUGUGGGCGUGCGGGCGAUACGGGCAGACUAGAGUACUGCAGGGGAGACUGGAAUUCCUGGUGUAGCGGUGGAAUGCGCAGAUAUCAGGAGGAACACCGGUGGCGAAGGCGGGUCUCUGGGCAGUAACUGACGCUGAGGGGGCGAAAAGCGUGGGGGAGCGAACAGG